UACCUUAAAGUAAGAAAAGUAUUUGAUUCACCAAAAAUUCAUCCGAUAAUUUUCAAUCCCCUGUAUUAGAACCACAAGUUAUGUUUUAACAAACAACAUUAUACUGUUGGGCAUUCAUUGUUUACAAACAAAACUAUAACGCUUUCGCCAUCACUUGGUGACCGUCGGCUAUCGUCUCGUUAUAUUUUACAAAAAUGUUCUAACUGUUGGGUCAUUUGGAAUUAAACUUGGAACAGUCA
rnacentral:lncRNA from 1 species